rnacentral:tRNA from 3 species
CGAGGCGUAGCGCAGUUGGUAGCGCGUCGGCUUUGGGAGCCGAAGGUCGCCGGUUCGAGCCCGGCCGCCUCGACCA